CUUGCAGACACCUCCUGCGUGUGAUGUAAGUUCAAUUUACAAAGCAGGAAAUAAAAACUUUGAAAGUAAUUUACAUCUGAUUGAGAAUUAAACCAUUUUGUUUUCAUGCUGGCUGUCAGUCGCAGCCAGGAGAGGUGUGACUUAAGUCAUCUGCAAUAAUUACCCCUAAAUCCUUUUCCUCAGAUGUUAAGGUUAGGACUCAUUAUCUUGCACUUAUCUACAUUAAAUGACAGUUGCCACAACUCUGGCCAUUUUUCUAGUUUACCUAAAUCAUUUGCCAUUUGGC